UAGUCCACGCCCUAAACGAUGUUGGCUCGGUAUCCGGCUUUAAGUUGGGUGCCCAAGGGAAACCGAUAAGCCAACCACCUGGGGAGUACGUCGGCAACGAUGAAACUCAAAGGAAUUGACGGGGGUCCGCACAAGCGGUGGAGCACGUGGUUUAAUUCGAUGAUACGCGAGGAACCUUACCUAGGCUCGAACGCUACAAGACAGGAACUGAAAGGUUUUUUCCCUCGGGGUUUGUAGUGAGGUGCUGCAUGGUUGUCGUCAGCUCGUGCCGUGAGGUGUUGGGUUAAGUCCCGCAACGAGCGCAACCCUUAUUCUUAGUUGCCAGCACAUAAUGGUGGGGACUCUAGGAAGACUGCCGGCGUAAGCCGUGAGGAAGGUGGGGACGACGUCAAAUCAUCAUGGCCUUUAUGCCUAGGGCUACACACGUGCUACAAUGGUGCAUACAGCGGGUAGCGAAAUCGCGAGGUGGAGCUAAUCUUGUAAAGUGCAUCCCAGUUCGGAUCGGAGUCUGGAACUCGACUCCGUGAAGGUGG
rnacentral:rRNA from 1 species